rnacentral:rRNA from 1 species
GCGCAAUGGGCGGAAGCCUGACGCAGCGACGCCGCGUGGGGGAUGACGGCCUUCGGGUUGUAAACCUCUUUCGACUCCGACGAAGCGAGAGUGACGGUAGGAGUAGAAGAAGUACCGGCCAACUACGUGCCAGCAGCCGCGGUAAUACGUAGGGUGCGAGCGUUGUCCGGAAUUAUUGGGCGUAAAGAGCUCGUAGGCGGUGUGUCACGUCGAUCGUGAAAACUUGGGGCUUAACCCUGAGCGUGCGGUCGAUACGGGCAUCACUUGAGUUCGGCAGGGGAGACUGGAAUUCCUGGCGUAGCGGUGAAAUGCGCAGAUAUCAGGAGGAACACCGGUGGCGAAGGCGGGUCUCUGGGCCGAUACUGACGCUGAGGAGCGAAAGCGUGGGGAGCGAACAGGAUUAGAUACCCUGGUAGUCCACGCCGUAAACGGUGGGCGCUAGGUGUGGGGGCCAUUCCACGGUCUCUGUGCCGCAGCUAACGCAUUAAGCGCCCCGCCUGGGGAGUACGGCCGCAAGGCU